rnacentral:rRNA from 1 species
UACGUAGGGACCGAGCGUUGUCCGGAAUCAUUGGGCGUAAAGAGCGUGUAGGCGGCCAACUAAGUCCUGCGUGAAAUCUCGGGGCUCAACCCCGAGCGGUCGUGGGAAACUGGUUGGCUAGAGUGCGGGAGAGGAGAGUGGAAUUCCUGGUGUAGCGGUGAAAUGCGCAGAUAUCAGGAAGAACACCCGUGGCGAAGGCGGCUCUCUGGAACGCAACUGACGCUGAGACACGAAGGCCAGGGGAGCAAACGGG